rnacentral:tRNA from 1 species
GCCUGGGUGGCUCAGUCAGUUAAGCGUCUGGCUUUGGCUCAGGUCAUGAUGUCGUGGUUUGUGGGUUUGAGUCCCAUGUCAGGUU